CGGGAGGCCGGUGGGGGUUCCUGGUGUUACUGGUGGUGUUACUGGUGGUGUUACUGGUGUUGUUACUGGUGUUACUGGUGUUACUGGUGCAGGCCGGGAGCUGGGUGCGGGGCAGCGCUGGGCUCUGGCCGCGGCCGUGGCCCUGCCGGGAUUUUGGAUCGGGGGAGCGGGGGCGGCCGUGCUCUGGGUGCUGGGUGAGUGCCCCACGGACCCUAUGGACCCUACAGAGACCCUAUAGAGACCCUAUAGAGACCCUAUAGAUCCUAUAGAGACCCUAAAGACCCCAUGGAGACCCUAUAGAAUCUAUUGAUCCCCUAUAGAUAACCUAUGGACCCUAUAGAGACCCUAUAGACCCUGUAGAGACCCUAUAGAGACCUAUAGAUCCUAUGGACCCUAUAGAGACUCUAUGGACCCUAUAGAGACCCUAUAGACCCUAUAGAAUCUAUUGAUCCCCUAUAGAACCCUAUGGACCCCUAUAGAGACCCUAUAGAGACCCUAUAGAGACCCUAUAGAUCCUAUGGACCCUAUAGACCCUAUAGAGAUCCUAUAGAACCCUAUGGAGACCCUAUAGAACCCUAUGGACCCCUAUAGAGCCCUAUAAGAGACCCUAUAGAGACCCUAUAGAACCCUAUGGAGACCCUAUAGAUAAGCUAUGGACCCUAUAGAGACCCUAUGGACCCUAUAGAUCCCUUAGAGACCCUAUAGAACCCUAUGGACCCCUAUAGACCCUAUAGAUCCUAUAGAGACCCUAUAGAACCCUAUGGACCCUAUAGAAUUUAUAGAGACCCUAUAGAACCCUAUGGAGACCCUAUAGAACCCUAUAGAUCCUAUAGAUAACCUAUGGACCCUAUAGAGACCCUGAAGAGACCGUGUGGACCCCUAUAGAGACCCUAUAGAAACCCUAUGGACACCUAUAGAGCCCUACGGAGACCCUAUAGAUAACCUAUGGACCCUGUAGAGACCCCAUAGACCCCUAUAGAGACCCUACAGAGACCCUAUAGAGACUCUAUGGACCCUAUAAAGCCCAUAUAGAUCCCCUAUGGAUACCCUAUAGAACCCUAUGGACCCUAUAGGGACCCUACAGACCCCUAUAGAUCCUUAUAGAGACCCUAUAGAUACCCUUUGGGUCCCUAUAGAUCCACUAUAGUCCCCCCAUGGACCCUAUAGAUCCCCUAUAGGGGCCCUAUAGGUCCUUAUAGAGCCCCUACAGAGCCUAUAGAUCCCCUAUAGAUCCCUAUGGAUCCCCUAUAGAUCCCCCCA
rnacentral:lncRNA from 1 species